rnacentral:rRNA from 1 species
UACGUAGGGGGCAAGCGUUGUCCGGAUUUAUUGGGCGUAAAGAGCGUGUAGGCGGCCAGACAGGUCCGUUGUGAAAACUGGAGGCUUAACCUUCAGACGUCGAUGGAAACCGUCUGGCUAGAGUCCGGAAGAGGAGAGUGGAAUUCCUGGUGUAGCGGUGAAAUGCGCAGAUAUCAGGAAGAACACCCGUGGCUAAGGCGGCUCUCUAGUACGGUACUGACGCUGAGACGCGAAAGCGUGGGGAGCGAACAGGAUUAGAUACCCGAGUAGUCC